rnacentral:rRNA from 1 species
AACUUUGUCCUGAUUAACUCUUUCCGCUGAUUUAUAUAUUAAUAUGGAAAUUAUUUGAUUAAUCCAGCUAAAGACCUUAAACCAUACUUGAAAGAGUAAUUUAGUAUAAAUCAUUUCUUGACAAAAUUAGGUGCCAGCAGUCGCGGUUAAACCUUAAAGAAAACGGAAAAAAUUAGAGAGGGUAUAAGAAAAAAAAAUUUUUAAUAAUGGUGAAAUAGGUUAAAGACUUUUUCUACUAUCUUAUUUAAUCCCUAAAGAAGAUAAUAAACCUGGAUUAGAUACCCAGUUAUUCUUCCUCAAAUUUUACUCUAAGCACUAAAGUUAUCAUAACUAAAACUUAAAGGACAUGGCGGCAAGUCUGAAUAUCAGAGGAACUUACCAGAUAAUUGAUAACCCGCAAGAAAUUCUCACUUAUUCUAAAAAUUUAUAUACCGCCGUCUUCGCACCUUCCUUAGGAAGAUGCAAAAAAAAUUAUUUUUCGUAGGACAGGUCAUGUUAUAGUUAAUGGAUAAGACUUAAGGUGAGUUACAAUUAAUUUAGCCGACCAAAUUUAAAAAAAUUUCGCGAAGAUGGAUUUGAAAGUAAUUCUUAAUGUUAAUAUAGAUUGAAUUUUUUCAGACUCGUGCACAAAUCGCCCGUCACUCUCGUGUAUAACAUGAGAUAAGUCGUAACACAGUAGGGGUACCUGAAGGUGUCCCU